AGGGAUCUUUCUGUGUCUGCCUCGCCAGCACUUGGUUUCCAGCUUGGCCCCAAAGCACCUGGCUGGGGAGAGCACACGAGUCUUGAUUAUAAAGGAUGUGCAUCACUUUAUGCCCCAGUGAGGAACUACUUUACAAUUUCAAACAUGUCUGUUUUCUGUUGGACCUCAGCAUAUGCUUUUUUCUCUUCUUUGAAAGAUUUUUAUUUUUACUUUGUGUUGCUUUUUCUACUUCAAGAGCUUCUGAAAACUCAGGCUUCAUAACUCAGGAUAAGAGAGUUUUAAGGAGGCCUUUGAGUCAUGGGGUGCUGCGAAAACAAGUUUGGCUAAGGUGUGGACUGAACUGGCUUGUCUGAACCCUUUCUCCCUUGACUGAGCGAAUACACAUGAAGAUCUUCCUUGUGCCAUGGAGUAAAGAACUGGGCAGCACAGUGGGGGAAAUGCUACGGAAAAGCAUGGAGAAGAGCAAAACCCUGCCUCCACUUGAGACACUUGAAAUUUUUCAGUGUGACUGGAGCUCCCAGCAAGACGAGCUGUCAGCAUCCUGUGUCAAACGUAACAGAAAUGUGUCACAUCUGGGAUUCAUCUAUCCCCGUGACCUCAGUCAAUGUCUCCCUUCAGGGUAAGUAAUUCGCCACACACCAUUUAGCCAAAAGUUUCCUGAGAUGUCUGUGCUAUUACCAGUGUUUAUACCACUUCCCCAGAGAAAUCACAAACGGCAGCCCACUUCUCCUUCAAUUAGAAUUAUUCAUGGAAGGUGGGUAGGAAAUUACAUCUUUAAAUUUUCUGAAUUUUUUUCCCCAUGCCCAGCUUUUCCAUAAGCACUUGGUAUGUGUUACCAUUGUCUGCUGGCCGAUGUUUUACUCACAAUUUCUCAGCAUAGACAGAGCUUUGGCAAAAUAAACCCACAUUUAUGGUGAAAUCAUCAAUAUAUAAAAUUUAA